CGCUCAUGCACGAAAGCGUGGGGAGCAAACAGGAUUAGAUACCUGGUAGUCCACGCCUAAACGAUGUCAACUAGCUGUUGGGGCUUCGGGCCUUGGUAGCGCAGCUAACGCGUGAAGUUGACCGCUGGGGAGUACGGUCGCAAGAUUAAAACUCAAAGGAAUUGACGGGGACCCGCACAAGCGGUGGAUGAUGUGGAUUAAUUCGAUGCAACGCGAAAAACCUUACCUACCCUUGACAUGUCUGGAAUGCCGAAGAGAUUUGGCAGUGUCGCAAGAAACCGGAACACAGGUGCUGCAUGGCUGUCGUCAGCUCGUGUCGUGAGAUGUUGGGUUAAGUCCCGCAACGAGCGCAACCCUUGUCAUUAGUUGCUACGAAAGGGCACUCUAAUGAGACUGCCGGUGACAAACCGGAGGAAGGUGGGGAUGACGUCAAGUCCUCAUGGCCCUUAUGGGUAGGGCUUCACACGUCAUACAAUGGUCGGGACAGAGGGUCGCCAACCCGCGAGGGGGAGCCAAUCCCAGAAACCCGAUCGUAGUCCGGAUCGCAGUCUGCAACUCGACUGCGUGAAGUCGGAAUCGCUAGUAAUCGCGGAUCAGCAUGUCGCGGUGAAUACGUUCCCGGGUCUUGUACACACCGCCCGUCACACCAUGGGAGUGGGUUUUACCAGAAGUAGUUAGCCUAACCGCAAGGGGGGCGAUUACCACGGUAGGAUUCAUGACUGGGGUGAAGUCGUAACAAGGUAACCAAGGGCGAAUUCUG
rnacentral:rRNA from 1 species